GACGAACGCUGGCGGCGUGCUUAACACAUGCAAGUCGAACGGAAAGGCCCUGCUUUUGUGGGGUGCUCGAGUGGCGAACGGGUGAGUAACACGUGAGUAACCUGCCCUUGACUUUGGGAUAACUUCAGGAAACUGGGGCUAAUACCGGAUAGGAGCUCCUGCUGCAUGGUGGGGGUUGGAAAGUUUCGGCGGUUGGGGAUGGACUCGCGGCUUAUCAGCUUGUUGGUGGGGUAGUGGCUUACCAAGGCUUUGACGGGUAGCCGGCCUGAGAGGGUGACCGGGCACAGUGGGAGAGGGGAGGCAGCAGGAGGCAAACGUGGGCAAGGGGUGGAAGAUUGUCCAAGAGGGGCGGAGUGGUUGAGGAACGACGCCGGGUGGGAGAAGACGGUUUUUGGGUUAGAAAACGUGUUCGCGUGUACAGAAGCGUUGGGACGGGAAAUAAGUAAAAAGGCACGGGUAAAUUAGGG
rnacentral:rRNA from 1 species